CUGUAAUUGGAAUGAGUACACUUUAAAUCCUUUAACAAGGACCUAUUGGAGGGCAAGUCUGGUGCCAGCAGCCGCGGUAACUCCAGCUCCAAUAGCGUAUAUUAAAGUUGUUGCGGUUAAAACGUUCGUAGUUGAACUUGUGCUUCAUACGGGUAGUACAACUAUAAUUGUAGUUUGUACUGUACCUUAUGUAUGUAAGCGUAUUACCGGUGGAGUUCUUAUAUGUUAAUACUUUAUUUUCCUCCUAUUUAAACCUGCUUCAGUGCUCUUCAUCGAGUGUUGUUGUGGGCCGGUACAAUUACUUUGAACAAAUUAGAGUGCUUAAAGCAGGCUCCAAAUGCCUGAAUAUUUUGUGCAUGGAAUAAUGAAAUAAGACCCCUGUUCUACUUUCAUUGGUUUUUAGAUCAAGAGGUAAUGAUUAAUAGAAGCAGUUUGGGGGCAUUAGUAUUACGACGCGAGAGGUGAAAUUCUUGGACCGUCGUAAGACUAACUUAAGCGAAAGCAUUUGCCAAAGAUGUUUUCAUUAAUCAAGAACGAAAGUUAGAGGUUCGAAGGCGAUCAGAUACCGCCCUAGUUCUAACCAUAAACGAUGCCAGCUAGCAAUUGGGUGUAGCUACUAUCAUGGCUCUCUCAGUCGCUUCCCGGGAAACCAAAGCUUUUGGGCUCCGGGGGAAGUAUGGUUGCAAAGCUGAAACUUAAAGGAAUUGACGGAAGGGCACCACCAGGAGUGGA
rnacentral:rRNA from 1 species